rnacentral:rRNA from 1 species
UGGGGAAUAUUGCACAAUGGGCGCAAGCCUGAUGCAGCCAUGCCGCGUGUGUGAAGAAGGCCUUCGGGUUGUAAAGCACUUUCAGCGAGGAGGAAAGGUGGUGAGCUUAAUACGCUCAUCAAUUGACGUUACUCGCAGAAGAAGCACCGGCUAACUCCGUGCCAAGCAGCCGCGGUAAUACGGAGGGUAGCAAGCGUUAAUCGGAAUUACUGGGCGUAAAGCGCACGCAGGCGGUUUGUUAAGUCAGAUGUGAAAUCCCCGGGCUCAACCUGGGAACUGCAUUUGAAACUGGCAAGCUAGAGUCUCGUAGAGGGGGGUAGAAUUCCAGGUGUAGCGGUGAAAUGCGUAGAGAUCUGGAGGAAUACCGGUGGCGAAGGCGCCCCCUGGANGAAGACUGACGCUCAGGUGCGAAAGCGU